UUCAAUCCAAAACUGGUAUUGUGCUGCCAGAUUAUCAUUAGGUACAAUGAAUAAAACUUGACAUCCCGAUUGAACCGGUUUUCCUGCCACAGGAUUAUGCUUGAGGAAUUUUAAAGCCUCGAAAUACAUCGAUAAUGUACUCAGCAUAGCUCCAAACGAUUUCCCUGAGCCAUUCCAACCUCGCACAAUGAAAGAUACACCGCUCUUCAUUAACGCAUUGAUUAUGCGUUGUUGCAAAGGCGUUGAAUUUUUAUACUCUGCAAAAUUUGUAGACAAUCCAUCUAAUAUAUUUUGAUUAAGGGGUAAUUCAUGAAAUUUUGGUCCAUUGGGUUCAUGCAAUUUCUUCCUUCGGGUUACCUCUUCAUCUCCUUUAUUUGUGUAAUUUGGUAAGUAUCUAAUUAGUUGAUUUUCAUUCAAAAUAACAGGCCUGCCAGCUGUGUAUCUUGGACUAGUGAUAUUGAUAAAUUUUCGUGUCUGAAGCAACCAAGGAACACUUCGUCCGUUUAGACGCAAUCCCAUCACAUUUAUAACUUUUAUUGCAUUAAAACGAUCCAAUAUCGAGGCAGGACAACAUUUCAUGAGCAAACUGUUGUUGGACGAGUUAGUACCCCACCAACGAAAGUAACAAUACCAAAAAUUGUUGAAG